rnacentral:rRNA from 1 species
CUAACUAGGAUUCCCCCAGUAACUGCGAGUGAAGAGGGAAGAGCUCAUCAUUGGAAUCUGGCAGUGUUUCACUGUCCGAGUUGUAGAUGAGGAGUAGUCCGUCUGGACUGCAUGGCGUCCAAGUACAAUAGGCCGUCAGUGGGACAUCAUAGAGGGUGACAAUCCCGUCCUUGACGCCAAUGUGCAAGUCUAUUACGAUGGCUAUCUCAGAGAGUCGAGCAGUUUGGGAUUUGCUGCUUAAACAUGGGAGGUAGAUUCCUUCUAAAGCUAAAUACAGGCGAGAGACCGAUAGAGAACAAGUACCGCAAGGGAAAGAUGAAAUAGCACUCUGUGAAGGGAGUCAAAAGGCGUGAAAUUGUUGCGAGAGAAGCGAUUCAAGUCAGCGUAGCUAGGCCCAUCAAGCGUCUUCGCUUUGGACUAGCUUUGCCAGCGGUCUUGUCCCUUAAAGAGACUUGACUUGUAAUAUGUCCAGCCUGGCGUGCACAGGCAGCCCCUUCUGGGGGCCAGUGACAUGGCUGGUGGAAUGGCUUGCAAUCGACCCGUCUUGAAACACGGACCAAGGAGUCUAACAUGUAUGCGAGUAUAAGGGUGGCAAACCCGUAUGCGCAAUGAAAGUGAUUUUCGGUGAUUGAGAAUGGCCUGAUGACCAGACAAGCAAUAUAUGUCCCUCGUACGGCCAUUGCCCAAGUUCCGUGGUAGAUCCCACGAACAUGGAGUUGGAGCAUACAUGCUAGGACCCGAAAGAUGGUGAACUAUGCCUGGACAAAGCGAAGCCAAAGGAAACUCUGGUGGAGGCUUGUAGCGAUUCUGACGUGCAAAUCGAUCGUCUGAUCUGGGUAUAGGGGCGAAAGACUAAUCGAA